GGACUGUCGGUAUGAACGAUGAGGCAGUAAUGGUGAUAUGGCGAAAGGAAACGGACAGCAAGUAACCAUGGAAACAAGGUAACAAGAUGGCGUCGAAGCGUUAUUCAUUUCAUAAUUUCAUUGUUUUCGAAUUUAUGACCAAUGGAGAAAAGCGGGUUUCCAACUUAGAAGUAAGAUUCUUUCAUUGGAAUUUUGACGACAUCAAACAGAUAAUCCACAAAGAAGUAAUGUGUUAAGCUGGUGUUUCUCUCUUCCUGUGGACUAAUCGCACAUCCUUCAGACUGUAACCCUGAAACAUACCUCUGUGGUACUGUAUUUUUUUUUCUUUUUUGUCGGAGAUAAUAAAAGAAUCAUUUCCUGCA